rnacentral:rRNA from 1 species
AUUGAACGCUGGCGGCAGGCCUAACACAUGCAAGUCGAGCGGAUGAAGGGAGCUUGCUCCUGGAUUCAGCGGCGGACGGGUGAGUAAUGCCUAGGAAUCUGCCUGGUAGUGGGGGAUAACGUCCGGAAACGGGCGCUAAUACCGCAUACGUCCUGAGGGAGAAAGUGGGGGAUCUUCGGACCUCACGCUAUCAGAUGAGCCUAGGUCGGAUUAGCUAGUUGGUGGGGUAAAGGCCUACCAAGGCGACGAUCCGUAACUGGUCUGAGAGGAUGAUCAGUCACACUGGAACUGAGACACGGUCCAGACUCCGACGGGAGGCAGCAGUGGGGAAUAUUGGACGAUGGGCGAAAGCCUGAUCCAGCCAUGCCGCGUGUAUGAAGAAGGUCUUCGGAUUGUAAAGCACUUUAAGUUGGGGGGAAGGGCAGUAAGUUAAUACCUUGCUGUUUUGACGUUACCAACAGAAUAAGCACCGGCUAACUUCGUG